GUUUUGUUGUUGACUGGAGCUGAGGAUCCUUUAUUCUGUCGGUUUUUGAUAUGGAAAGUAAACAAGUGCAACGCGUGAAGGCAGCGCAGCAGUGCACACCGGUCCCGCUGUGCCGAGCUGGUUCCGUCCCCUCCUCAGCCGCUGUCUGAGCCCACACAGCAGCGCUCGGCGUGCGUGGUGCCCGCUGUACGCGUGGAAUUAGAUUGCUGUAGAUAGGGAUGAAAGAAAUAGAGUGCCUGCGAUGCUGGCAGCAUGGAUUAUAUGCGCUGGGGGAUGGGAGGGUGCUUCUGCUGCAUUCUGUUUUCUCUUCUGGUGCACGGCCCCAUUGCUGUGUGCUGCUCUGAGACAUGGCAGCAGCAGGGGUGGCUCCGGGGUCGUGCAGCCCUCCCCAGGCUGGAAAACACAGGAAAUGUGGUUUUCAUUCCACUUCUCCAAGAGCAUCCCACGGAGCAUCCCUCCUACGGAUGCCAACCCAGAGCCUGCCCAGGUGCGGGGCCGUGUCCCCCCCCUGUCAGCACUCUGGUCCCUGCAGGAGCCGGUUCCUCACUGGGUUUGCAGCAGUGCCCCCUCCCAAGGGCUGGAGCCCCAGUGUGUGCUGUGCCACUCAGCACCACUCUGCAUCCCGUGGGCGCUGCUGGGGAGAUGUCGGCCCACAUCACCAUUCCCCACAUCAGGCUCCUAAGAAAAUGCUUUUUGCCCUCUCGGGUUGAUCUGAAAAGGUCAUGUGUGACGCUGGCAUGUGACUACUGCCUGGAAGGAGUGAGACCUUUUUUGAGCUUUCCUUUAAAAAAAAGCACCGCCGGCCCCUCACAGCUGGCAGUGCCCCAUGGGCACUGCACGUGCUCUCAGAACCAUAGAGCCAUAGAGCCAUGGAAUCACAGAAUCUUCUCCUGCAUGGUCGAACACAAUGCCAGCUGUGCACCAAACACACCCAGAGCCGCAGCUCGGCCCUGCAUGGUGCUGUGCAGGAGGGGGACAAAGCAAGGGCAGUGCAGGUCCCCGUGGCUCCUCUGUGGCCAACGCGUGGCCCACGUGAUACAUUUGGCACCCAGAGCUUGGUGCUCCUUGCACGCCAGGUGUAUGCCAGCAGCGCUGUGCCUGGCUCUGGGUUGGGGUAGGAGCGGAGGGGCUGGCACUUAGUGCCUGCAUGGGGACAUCUGGGCACGGGUUGUGACACCGCCGCUUCUGUUCAGCCCCAGCAGCCCCCCACAAACUGCACUUCUGAGCUGAAGACCUCGUCUGAGUCUGGAGGCAGCAGUCAGAGGCAAAGCAGCAAGGAAAUUAAACG
rnacentral:lncRNA from 1 species